rnacentral:pre_miRNA from 1 species
UUUGUACUCCCUCCGUCUGAAAAUACUUGUCAUCAAAAUGGAUAAAAGGGGAUGUAUCUAGACAUAUUUUAGUUCUAGAUACAUCUCUUUUUAUCCAUUUUGAUGACAAGUAUUUUCGGACGGAGGGAGUACAAU